rnacentral:rRNA from 1 species
UACGGGGGGAGCAAGCGUUGUUCGGAUUUACUGGGCGUAAAGGGCGCGUAGGCGGUCGUGACAAGUCACUUGUGAAAUCUCCGGGCUUAACUCGGAACGGUCAAGUGAUACUGUCGGACUAGAGUACAGAAGGGGCAACUGGAAUUCUCGGUGUAGCGGUGAAAUGCGUAGAUAUCGAGAGGAACACCUGCGGCGAAGGCGGGUUGCUGGGCUGAUACUGACGCUGAGGCGCGGAAAGCCAGGGGAGCGAACGGG